GCCUGGGUGGCUCAGUCAGUUAAGCGCCAGACUUAGGCUCAGGUCAUGAUCUCACAGUUCGUGGGUUCGAGCCCCGCAUCGGGCU
rnacentral:tRNA from 1 species